GGUCUCGCCUGCCCAGUGAAACUCAUUAAACGGCCGCGGUAUUCUAACCGUGCAAAGGUAGCGUAAUCACUUGUCUUCUAAAUAAAGACCCGUAUGAACGGCCAAAUGAGGACAAACCUGUCUCUUAUAACUAAUCAGUGAAACUGAUCUGCCAGUACAAAAGCUGGUAUAUUAACAUAAGACGAGAAGACCCUGUGGAGCUUAAGACAAAACACUAACCACCAACAUAGUAUACAGUCUUCAGUUGGGGCGACUUCGGAACAAAACAAAACUUCCGAGCAGAGAACCACAACCUCUUACCAAGGCUAACAGGCCUAAGAAAACUGACCCGGCUCACACCGAUCAGCGAACCAAGUUACCCCAGGGAUAACAGCGCUAUCUUCUUUAAGAGUCCAUAUCGACAAGAAGGUUUACGACCUCGAUGUUGGAUCAGGACACCCAGGUGGUGCAGCCGCUACCAAAGGUUCGUUUGUUCAACGAUUAAUAGUCCUACGUGAUCUG
rnacentral:rRNA from 1 species